rnacentral:rRNA from 1 species
GACGUAGGGCGCGAGCGUUGUCCGGAUUUAUUGGGCGUAAAGAGCUCGGUAGGCGGCUUGUCGCGGUCGAAUGUGAAAUCUCAGGGCUCAACUCUGACAUUGCAUUCGAUACGGGCAGGCUCGAGUUCGGUAGGGGAGACUGGAAUUCCUGGUGUAGCAGUGAAAUGCGUAGAUAUCAGGAGGAACACCGAUGGCGAAGGCAGGUCUCUGGGCUGACACUGACGCUACAUGCGACGAAAGCGUGGGGAGCAAACAGG